GACGAACGCUGGCGGCGUGCUUAACACAUGCAAGUCGAACGGAAAGGCCCCUUUGGGGGUACUCGCGUGGCGAACGGGCGAGUAACAAGUGAGUAAGUUGCCUUUGACUUAGGGAUAACUUCCGGCAACUGGGGCUAACUACUGAUAGGAAUCCUUGCUUCCUGGUGGGGGGUGGUAAGAUAGGGGGGUCUGGGAUGGACUCGCGGCCUAUCAGCUUGUUGGUGGGGUGGUGGGUUACCUAGGCAUUGACGGGUAGGCGGCCUGGGAGGGCGGACGGCCACAAUUGGGCUGAAGAACGGCCCAGACCCCUACGGGAGGCAGCAGGGGGGGAUAUUGCACAAUGGGCGGGAGCCUGAUGCAGGAACGCCCGGUGCGGGAAUGCGGCCUUCGGGUUGUAAACCGCUUUCAGCAGGGGCGAAGCUUGUGGUGACGGUACCUGCAAAAGAAGCACCGGCUAACUACGUG
rnacentral:rRNA from 1 species